rnacentral:rRNA from 1 species
UUCGCCCUUAGAGUUUGAUCCUGGCUCAGGACGAACGCUGGCGGCGCGCUUAACACAUGCAAGUCGAACGGAGCUGAGAGGAGCUUGCUUUUCUCAGCUUAGUGGCGAACGGGUGAGUAACGCGUGAGUAACCUGCCCUGGAGUGGGGGACAACAGUUGGAAACGACUGCUAAUACCGCAUAAGCCCACGGCUCGGCAUCGAGCAGAGGGAAAAGGAGCAAUCCGCUUUGAGAUGGCCUCGCGUCCGAUUAGCUAGUUGGUGAGGUAACGGCCCACCAAGGCAACGAUCGGUAGCCGGACUGAGAGGUUGAACGGCCACAUUGGGACUGAGACACGGCCCAGACUCCUACGGGAGGCAGCAGUGGGGAAUAUUGCACAAUGGGGGAAACCCUGAUGCAGCGACGCCGCGUGGAGGAAGAAGGUCUUCGGAUUGUAAACUCCUGUUGUUGGGGAAGAUAAUGACGGUACCCAACAAGAAAGCACCGGCUAACUACGUGCCAGCAGCCGCGGUAAAACGUAGGGUGCAAGCGUUGUCCGGAAUUACUGGGUGUAAAGGGAGCGCAGGCGGGAAGACAAGUUGGAAGUGAAAACCAUGGGCUCAACCCAUGAAUUGCUUUCAAAACUGUUUUUCUUGAGUAGUGCAGAGGUAGAUGGAAUUCCCGGUGUAGCGGUGGAAUGCGUAGAUAUCGGGAGGAACACCAGUGGCGAAGGCGGUCUACUGGGCACCAACUGACGCUGAGGCUCGAAAGCAUGGGUAGCAAACAGGAUUAGAUACCCCGGUAGUCCAUGCCGUAAACGAUGAUUACUAGGUGUUGGAGGAUUGACCCCUUCAGUGCCGCAGUUAACACAAUAAGUAAUCCACCUGGGGAGUACGACCGCAAGGUUGAAACUCAAAGGAAUUGACGGGGGCCCGCACAAGCAGUGGAGUAUGUGGUUUAAUUCGACGCAACGCGAAGAACCUUACCAAGUCUUGACAUCCCUUGACAGACAUAGAAAUAUGUAAUCUCUUCGGAGCAAGGAGACAGGUGGUGCAUGGUUGUCGUCAGCUCGUGUCGUGAGAUGUUGGGUUAAGUCCCGCAACGAGCGCAACCCUUAUGGUCAGUUACUACGCAAGAGGACUCUGGCCAGACUGCCGUUGACAAAACGGAGGAAGGUGGGGAUGACGUCAAAUCAUCAUGCCCUUUAUGACUUGGGCUACACACGUACUACAAUGGCGUUAAACAAAGAGAAGCAAGACCGCGAGGUGGAGCAAAACUCAGAAACAACGUCCCAGUUCGGACUGCAGGCUGCAACUCGCCUGCACGAAGUCGGAAUUGCUAGUAAUCGUGGAUCAGCAUGCCACGGUGAAUACGUUCCCGGGCCUUGCACACACCGCCCGUCA